CCAAGAAGUUCAUUAAAACCCACAGCGGCAGGGCUUUGCUCUACUGUUCUCCACCCUAGUGAAAGAGACAUAUCCAUUAAACCGUGUUCUGAUUGGUCAUUCAUAAGAGAAUAACUUAAGUCCAAGGGUCACCUGUGAAACUUUGCCACAAGUAUUUUGACAAAUUCAAACCAUUGGUCAGUGUUUGUGUAGGACAUAGAGCAGAAGACAAAGAAAAUAGCACGUGGGAGAACGAGAAGUCGAGGAAAGUCCAGAUAUAGUUGUGCAGGUAUCCUUGGUGGCCAGUGCCUUGUGAAAGCACAGAAGCUGCAGAGAACAGGGUUCAAGUGCUCCCCUAGGGCAUGGCUUGUAGCUUUCCACUCAUUAUGGAAUCAAGCCUUGAGAGCCAGUCCCCUGUCUGAGCCCAUUGCACUGCCCUGCCCAAGAGAGAGAGGAGGAUCGCCUUAUCUACCACCAACUCUUCAGAAAAAUUUGAUGUAUGAGGAUAGCUUUACAUGACAGCAUUGCAAGAAAUAAAUGGAUGGAGAAUUUUUAAAAAAGAAAAGAAAAUUUUCUUCCUGCUACUUUGAAAAUUGUCCUUGUGGAAAAGAAAGAAAGAAAAAGAGAAACUAUUGUUCCCCUAUCAACACAAGUGGGACAGAAGUGGGUGUGACCGUAGGGUGUCAGAUAAUGUACAAUCAUCACUGGAUGAAAGACAAUGGAUGUGGUGGAGAGCAUUCACCUGGGUGGAAGGAAACAGCCUCUACACCCCUCUAAGCCCCAUUAGGUGGUUGAUAGCCUGGAUAGACACCGUCCUACAGUGCUGCCUAAUAUUCUGACAUUUCAAGAACUAUAAACUUAGUGUUUUAUGGGAAAUUUUCAGAUUUUAAAAACCCUGUGCAUGAAUUCAUUUAUUCAACAAACUUGUAUUCAGCACGUUUAUGCACCAGGCACUAUUCUAGGAAACGGAGACUU
rnacentral:lncRNA from 1 species